GAUGAACGCUGGCGGCGUGCCUAAUACAUGCAAGUCGAGCGAACAGACGAGGAGCUUGCUCCUCUGACGUUAGCGGCGGACGGGUGAGUAACACGUGGAUAACCUACCUAUAAGACUGGGAUAACUUCGGGAAACCGGAGCUAAUACCGGAUAAUAUAUUGAACCGCAUGGUUCAAUAGUGAAAGACGGUUUUGCUGUCACUUAUAGAUGGAUCCGCGCCGCAUUAGCUAGUUGGUAAGGUAACGGCUUACCAAGGCAACGAUGCGUAGCCGACCUGAGAGGGUGAUCGGCCACACUGGAACUGAGACACGGUCCAGACGCCUAAGGGAGGCAGCAGUAGGGAAUCGUCCGCAAUGGGCGAAAGCAUGACGGAGCAACGCCGCGUGAGUGAUGAAGGUCUUCGGAUCGUAAAACUCGGUUAUUAGGGAAGAACAAAUGUGUAAGUAAAUAUGCACGUCUUGACGGUACCUAAUCAGAAAGCCACGGCUAACUACGUG
rnacentral:rRNA from 1 species